CUCAGCAGCACAUAGACUUAAAAAAAAAAAAAAUGGACUGACACAGAGAAGAUCAGCAUGGCCCCUGCACAAGGAUGGCACGCAAAUUCGUGAAGCGUUCCAUAUUAAU